AGAGUUUGAUCCUGGCUCAGGAUGAACGCUGGCGGUAUGCUUAACACAUGCAAGUCGAACGGAGUACUUAGGUACUUAGUGGCGGACGGGUGAGUAACGCGUGAGAAUCUGCCUUCAGGUUCGGGACAACCACUGGAAACGGUGGCUAAUACCGAAUGUGCAGCAAUGUGAAAAAUUUAUUGCCUGAAGAUGAGCUCGCGUCUGAUUAGCUAGUAGGUGUGGUAAGAGCGCACCUAGGCGACGAUCAGUAGCUGGUCUGAGAGGAUGAUCAGCCACACUGGGACUGAGACACGGCCCAGACUCCUACGGGAGGCAGCAGUGGGGAAUUUUCCGCAAUGGGCGAAAGCCUGACGGAGCAAUACCGCGUGAGGGAGGAAGGCUCUUGGGUUGUAAACCUCUUUUCUCAAGGAAGAAAAAAAUGACGGUACUUGAGGAAUAAACAUCGGCUAACUCCGUGCCAGCAGCCGCGGUAAUACGGAGGAUGCAAGCGUUAUCCGGAAUGAUUGGGCGUAAAGCGUCCGCAGGUGGCUAUGUAAGUCUGCUGUUAAAGAGUCUGGCUCAACCAGAUAAAGGCAGUGGAAACUACAUGGCUAGAGUGCGUUCGGGGCAGAGGGAAUUCCUGGUGUAGCGGUGAAAUGCGUAGAGAUCAGGAAGAACACCGGUGGCGAAAGCGCUCUGCUAGGCCGCAACUGACACUGAGGGACGAAAGCUAGGGGAGCGAAUGGGAUUAGAUACCCUAGUAGUCC
rnacentral:rRNA from 1 species